rnacentral:misc_RNA from 1 species
UCCCGGUUAACCCGGGCAGUCUCACUAGAGUUCCCACCUUUACGUGUUGGCAACUAAUGAUAAGGGUUGCGCUCGUUGCGGGACUUAACCCAACACCUCACGGCACGAGCUGACGACAGCCAUGCAGCACCUGUGCAGAUGCCCCGAAGGGCCUACCUAUUUCUAGGUCAUUCAUCUGCAUGUCAAGCCUGGGUAAGGUUCUUCGCGUUGCAUCGAAUUAAACCACAUGCUCCACUGCUUGUGCGGGUCCCCGUCAAUUCUUUUGAGUUUCACCCUUGCGAGUGUACUCCCCAGGCGGUAUACUUAACGCGUUAGCUACGGCACAACCGGGGUUGAGUCCAGUUACACCAAGUAUACAUAGUUUACGGCAAGGACUAC